AGUUAAAACCCAACCUCAGUCCCUUACUAGCUAUAUGACUAUAAGCAAGUCACUUAACUGAGAGGGGGGAGAGAGAGAAAGGAAGAAAGGAAGAAAGGAAGAAAGAAAGGAAGGAAGGAAGGAAGGAAGAAAGAAAGAAAGAAAGAAAGAAAGAAAGAAAGAAAGAAAGAAAGAAAGAAAGAAAGAAAGAAAGAAAGAAAGAAAGAAAGAAAGAAAGAGAAAGAAAGAAAGAAGAAAAAAGAAAAGAAAAAAGAGAGAGAGAGAGAGAGAGAGAGAGAGAGAGAGAGAGAGAGAGAGAGAGAGAGAGAGAGAGAGAGAAGCAGCUAGGUGGCUAAGUGGACUGAGCCAGACUUAGAGAUGGAAGGUCCUGGGUUCA
rnacentral:lncRNA from 1 species